rnacentral:hammerhead_ribozyme from 1 species
AUCCCGCUGACGAGUCCCGAAUAGGACGCAACUCACGUCCUAGAU